GCUUAAAUAUUGAGAGUAUAAACUUUACUAGGUAAAUAGUUUUUUUUCGUGUUUUUAGAGGAUUUAAUGCUUUAAAUCUGAAAUGAAGCUUGUUUCUGGGUCAUCCCCUAGUGGUCACUUUGUCUUCCGUGACGUGCAGGGCACGGCGAUCCGUAAGAGGUCAGAGAAAAAAAGCAGAUUAGUUUAAGCUGACACAAAUAUCAACUCAAAUAAUCACUCUCUAACCAUGUUAUGCAGCAAAGCAUCAACCUUGAGGCCUACAUGUUAUAACAGCAGAAGUCCACAUUAGAUUCCACUCAUGUCAGGCAAGAAUCUGAGGCUUUCCUAAACGCAGAUUCACUGAAAUUGGAUAGCUGGAUAAAUGGGAAAAAAAAUCAUUUCCCCCUAAAAUUUAACAGUCCUGUUUGGGUGAGCCUACUGUAUAUGACACUGGCUCAUGUAUGAUGGGAAUGAAAGAUGUCAAUCUCGUCUGCUCUAUCUCACACAUUUUCUUCAUUCAGAUGUUGUGAACAUUAAUUAAAGCUCUUGACCUGAAUCCUUAUACAUGCAUAAAUGAGUGUGUUCCUAUUAAAGUGGACAGUGAGUGUAUGCCACUAUGAGAGACUGGGAUGAAUUGUUCAAAACCCAUAUGGACACAAAGAUUACAAGAUUACAAACUGCACCAUUAACAUCCUGUAAUGACGCAUUUCUUGUAACAUAGAAUAUAGCAGAGAUGUUUCUACCUCAGAAGCAGGAACAGGACACCGAUCAGAAAGAGGAUGGCCAACAAGGAGAUGAUGAUCUUAAUGGCCAGUUUAAUGUAUUCUAAGAGAGAGGAAAUUUGAGUUAGAUUUGGUAAUAUCUCAGAGCAACACAAUCAUUUUAUCAUUUAGUGUAUAUUACAAAUAAAAAUGAAAAUCCAACAAUAAAAAUACUACAGUAAAUGUUAAUAAUGCAAAGUUGUUGUUUGGGGUUGCCACAGCAGAUCACGUGGUCUGCAUAUUUGAUUUGGCACAGGUUUUACACCGGAUGCCCUUACUUAUACAACCCUUCCAUUUUAUCUGCACUUGAGAACAGCACUGAGAGCUAACUCAUGUGGCUGGACUUGCUCCCUAACCAGGAAUCAAACCCCAGCCUGUACCAUGCAAAGAAAGUGGCUGGUGGAUCACACUGAACACUACAAGUUAGGUGGACUGGAACCGCCUCAUCCAAUAGACCCAGUGAUGUCAUAUUAUGGGUAAUGGUUAUGUGUGGCUGAUCUAAACAAGGAAAAAUGGCUCAUUGAGGUAUAAAAGGUAACACUAUUUCUGACUUACUGGUUACAGAUCUUAUUCAUCAUCAUCAUCAUCAUCAUCAUCAUCAUCCAUCAGUCCUAAACUUCUGUAAUGCUUCUUUUUGAGUCUUUCACCAUUUACAUUUUUUCACUGUUCAGAUUUAAACCUAAUCUUUCUUUCUUUCUUUCUUUCUUUCUGAAUAAAUGAAUGAAUAAAGUAAUGUUACUAGUAGCCAAAUGUAAGCCACUGUAAUCCUAACCAGGCAAUUACUAAGGAAAGAAUAAACACUGUAAUUGCCAUAUUCAUAUUACUGUAAAUUCAUAGGUUUACUGUAAAUGUGCUUUCUUUGGCACAUGACCUUCGUCUGAUUACUCGCUUCCAUUUACAAGUAAAACCCACCCACCAAACACAUUAUUUUUAAUUACAUUUCAUGAAAAUUUGAUUUAAUACUCUCAUUAGUUGGUCUCUUUCACACUGUGCAUUUUAGCAGUUUAUCUAUUAUGCUUCCAUAGGCAUUAUAGAAUACGCACAUUUGACUCUGAUAUAUAUUGGUGGGGACUCAGCGCUUCCGAUUUCAUUGCUGGUGAUACAAAAGUAAUGGUCCGAGUCCGAGCUCUUCACUAAAGUGAGUGUUAAUGUCUGUCCAUUUCCUACUGUCACUGAGUGUGCUCUUGAGGAUUUCUUCCAUGUGUAAGCAGUCACUUGGGGCACAGAAUCAGCUUUGCAGGUAAGUUUAAGUUCAGAUCCUUCCUUUAGCUCGUUACCAGGAGAUGCUGAUGCUAUAACAUUUUUAGGGGCAU